rnacentral:rRNA from 1 species
UACAGAGGUCUCAAGCGUUGUUCGGAUUCAUUGGGCGUAAAGGGCGCGUAGGCGGCGGGGUAAGUCUGGUGUGAAAUCUCGGAGCUCAACUCCGAAAUUGCACUGGAUACUGCUCUGCUUGAGGGUUGGAGAGGAGAUCGGAAUUCACGGUGUAGCAGUGAAAUGCGCAGAUAUCAGGAGGAACACCUAUUGCGAAGGCAGCUCGCUGGGACGUAACUGACGCUGAGACGCGAAAGCGUGGGGAGCAAACAGG